UACGGAGGGAGCUAGCGUUAUUCGGAAUUACUGGGCGUAAAGCGCGCGUAGGCGGCUUUGUAAGUUAGAGGUGAAAGCCUGGAGCUCAACUCCAGAAUUGCCUUUAAGACUGCAUCGCUUGAAUCCAGGAGAGGUGAGUGGAAUUCCGAGUGUAGAGGUGAAAUUCGUAGAUAUUCGCAAGAACACCAGUGGCGAAGGCGGCUCACUGGCCCGGUACUGACGCUGAGGUGCGAA
rnacentral:rRNA from 1 species